rnacentral:rRNA from 1 species
UACGAAGGGGGCUAGCGUUGUUCGGAAUUACUGGGCGUAAAGCGCGCGCAGGCGGUCCUCCAAGUCAGUGGUGAAAGCCCGGAGCUCAACUCCAGAACUGCCUUUGAUACUGAAAGUCUUGAGUAUGGGAGAGGUGAGUGGAACUGCGAGUGUAGAGGUGAAAUUCGUAGAUAUUCGCAAGAACACCAGUGGCGAAGGCGGCUCACUGGCCCAUUACUGACGCUGAGGCACGAAAGCGUGGGGAGCAAACAGG